AUUGAACGCUGGCGGCAGGCCUAACACAUGCAAGUCGAACGAGUGGCGGACGGGUGAGUAGUGUCUGGGAAACUGCCCGAUGGAGGGGGAUAACUACUGGAAACUGUAGCUAAUACCGCAUACCCUCGUAUGCCCCCAGAUGGGAUUAGCUAGUAGGUGGGGUAAUGGCUCACCUAGGCGACGCUCCCUAGCUGGUCUGAGAGGAUGACCAGCCACACUGGAACUGAGACACGGUCCAGACUCCUACGGGAGGCAGCAGUGGGGAAUAUUGCACAAUGGGCGCAAGACUGAUGCAGCCAUGCCGCGUGUAUGAAGAAGGCCUUCGGGUUGUAAAGUACUUUCAGCGAGGAGGCGUUACUCGCAGAAGAAGCACCGGCUAACUCCGUGCCAGCAGCCGCGGUAAUAC
rnacentral:rRNA from 1 species